rnacentral:rRNA from 1 species
UAACCUGGUUGAUCCUGCCAGUUAGUCAUAUGCUUGUCUCAAAGAUUAAGCCAUGCAUGUCUAAGUAUAAACUGCUUAUACUGUGAAACUGCGAAUGGCUCAUUAAAUCAGUUAUAGUUUAUUUGAUGGUACCUUUACUCGGAUAACUCUUGGAAAUCUAGAGCUAAUACGUGCUUAAAGGGUGACUUCGGAA